AUGGUUUCUUCUUCCUUCGUCACUUUCGUGGCUCUAGCCACCAGCUGCCUCCUCAUCCUCCAUUCGCGCAGCGUCUCAGGCUGGUCGGACGGCGGCGCGACGUGGUACGGUCCCCGUGACGGCGCCGGCUCAGACGGUGGUGCGUGCGGGUACCAGGGUGACGUGGAGCAGCCUCCGUUCUCCGCCAUGAUCACGGCGGGCGGCUCCUCCAUCUUCAAUGGCGGCAAGGGCUGCGGGGCUUGCUAUCAGUGCCCCGGCGGGCCGUGCGAGGCCGAGGCUGCGCACUUUGACCUCAGCGGGAAGGCGUUCGGCGCCAUGGCCUUGCCCGGCCAGGCUGAAAACCUCCGCACCGUCGGCAACCUCAGAAUGCAGUACAACCGGGUUCCGUGUAAAUGGGGCGGGCUAGACAUUGCCUUCAAGGUAGACGCCGGCUCCAACCCCAGCUACCUUGCUGUGCUCAUCGAGGACGAGGCCGGCGACGGCGACCUGUCGGGCGUCGAGCUUCAGGAGAGCGGCGGCAGCUGGGCGCCGAUGCAGGAGUCGUGGGGCGCCACGUGGGAGUACAACUCGGGGUCCACCCUGCACGCGCCCAUAUCGAUCCGUCUCAUCUCCGGCUCCGGCAACAAGCUCGUCGCCACCAAUGUCAUCCCCUCCGGCUGGCAGGCCGGCAAGACCUACCGAUCCAUCGUAAACUUUCAGUUAUUAUUGAUCCGGUACUAG
rnacentral:rRNA from 1 species